ACAGUGAAAACAAGUGGGAUGUCUUGCUAGGGAAAAGCAUUAAAAAAAUUAACUGCAUGUGUAUACAUUGAGAACUGUUGACUUUUUGAGGAUGCUCUGACAAAUGUGAAAGAUACUCAUUUAAUUCAUUUUUAAUUCUGAAUUCAAGUGCAAUUUUUGCUAGGCUCAUUUCUUCAUGUAAUGUAAAAAUACACAGCAGCUCGUCAUGCCCUUUUGCCUCAUUACUUAUGUAUCUUUUUCCCUCCGGUAAAUGUCAGACAGUAAAAUUGAAAAUAUAGCUCGUUUGGUGUUUGAAACAGAGCCAGACAUGAAGCUGUGUGUCUGAUAGGAGGCACUGCUGUUCUUCAGUUUAGUCUGUCCCUUUCUACAUGUUUCAACAGGUCUGACUUCACACUCAGAUAAUAUUGGCCGUCCUUGUCCGACGGUGGUCAUGAAAUCCCUUGACACAAGUGAGAUUAAGGAAUAUUUGACCUGCUUGCAGAGGAGCUGACGGUAUUUCUGUUGACAUACUCAUCUUUUAUGGGAGAGCUUCAAUUCCCCAAUCAAUGACUGUUCUUGUCUUAUGCCUUUCAUAACAAGAAAGGUUAGCAGAAAAAAAAGAGACCUAUGAAAGCCAGUCAUUUUCACAGAAUCGCUCAGAUGCGGGGCCAGGGGGAGUGGUAUAGCAAAGGCAGAUUCAAAAGGAGGACUAGUUUUAAUUGUCUGCAUCUUAGUAAAGCUUGAAUUACAACAUCAGUAUGAUGAUAUGUAACUUGUUUUCAAUUUUUAAAUGCGUCUGUCUUUUGAAAUAUAUUUCUGAUUUGAUUUUUAGGACAUAUAUGAAAGGUGAUUAUUUAGUCACAGACAUCGCUAGAUAUUAGUGGUUUGUUAGUCUACAGAUGUCCUUAGUAUCAUUCUACACAAAAAUGAGAUCAGUAAACAAUAGUAAUUCUUUGGUUUAGUAUUUGCAAGGCAAAGGAGACACCUAUACCUAUUGCCUUUUCUCAAAUGCAACAAAGAAUCAAAUAAUUUAUUUGAGUUAUCUCUAAUCUCUUCCUUUCUGUCAUACCUCUAAUUAUAUCUCCAGGUCUUUACUUCCUUUGAUUUAGUAAUUACUAAGGUAGCACUGAGAGAAAAUACAGGUUCAGGACUUGAUGCUUUUGGUUUUACUGUUAGGGGUUUGGGGAUUUGAACAUCUGGCUCCUUUCAUUGGGGCUCAGUUCUUCUCUCAGAAUAGGAAUAAUUGUUUGCCACCCAGGCAGCAACAACUUGCACCUUAUAGAGCUAAGGGGUGAAUUUAGCCAAUCCAGUUCUUAUAACAAUCAAAUCAGCUAAACUCUGUUCAGCAGAUGAAACCGCUGAUCAGUUCUUCUGUACUUUUCUACUAUGAUAAUUUUUGUUCUGCAAGGUGUGCUUUCUUCCUGAAUGAGAUAUUCAACCCAGACGCAACUUCUUAUGAGAAUCCUUCACAGACAAUACAAUUAAGAAGUAUUUAUUUUGUGCUUAACCCCUUGCUAUACUCUGUGAAGGUAAUAAAAUAUGACAUGAUUCUUGCUCCAGAAGAACUUUUAAUCCCUUUAAGAACUCUAACCUAACAAAGUAACCACAAAUAAUUCUAGACUGUGUAAGUACAGUGGUUUAUUGUAUAUGCUUGUUGAUGGGGAUUGAGAACUGCCAGAGUUCAAGGAAUGAGCAAAUAAUGGUCCAUGGGGCUAAAGUCAAGGGUGAACUGACCACAGCAGAGAAUGAGUACUGGGAAGAAGGAUAAAUUAAAUUUUUAUAGUUAGGGUAGGAAUUGACCAUAGAGGUCUCUGAACCCUCACCUACAAGGCUGAGAUUUAACACAGCAAGUCCUCUAGGCCAGUGAAGGUUUUUGAGUAGGAGAGUGUAAUACUAAGAAUGGGAUACAGUGGCUAUGAAUUUAGAAUAUGUUUUUCCAAAUGAGGAAAACUUUACCUAAUGUUACUUUUUAAAUCAAAUAAGUCAGACUUGACCACUGUCUACCAGAGGUGGCAAGAAAUACUCUCUCAGCCAUUUGGGGUAGAGAGAAACCUCUCCACAAUUCCAAUAAAAAUGGCAAGAGGGGGAUGGAGGUUCUGGUUUUUAGUUCAUAAUGGCUGUUCCUGAUACGUUCUUCUCAGUGUGGUCCUUUCAGAGUAGACUGCUAUACUCACCUUCCAACUCUGACCCUCCACCACCUUGCUGGGACAAAUUACAUCUUCCUCUCUAUUGAGCCAGCUCUGCUUUCUUCACCCUCAACAUUAAUCCCUCUCAACUGGCUUAUUCUCACAAAAGCCUGGAUAUGGUGGACUGUGCUUGGGAUUUUUUGAAUUUCUGCUUUUGGCUCCUAUUUCACAAGCCUUAUGCUAACCUAACAGCUCAGACUCAAAACAAAAGACUUUUGAGUUGAAUAUAAAAUCUACUUCUCAUUAUUUUCUAUCUCCAGUAUAAAAGAGGGUAAAGUAAAAUUAACAUCUCAAUAGUUAUUCUUCCCAGGUGUUUAAGAAAUGGAGGAGGGGCAUUCUGGAACUAGGAAGCUAGCAUUAAGGCUGUGUAGUAAUCCACAGGUGAUUGCUGAAGGCCCAGCCCAGGGCACAAAAGUGACUUUUGGUGAAAUAAAUCAAUGAGCUACACUAAUUUGGGAGAGAGGACCUACUCCAAGGUUGUCAAAGGUGUGGCUAAGACAAAUUUUUAAAUAUUCAACAUUUGACAAUAAGGUAAUACUCUUAUUAGGGGAUCUGGUACUUAAAAAAAAAUUGACAUCCAAUUUCCUUUUUAUUUCACUUCCCUCUUUUCCCCACAGCACUUCCUGCUGUGAGAUUGUCAAACAAACAGGCAAGACCUAGUGCACUGCUUGUAGCCUGGAGCAGCAGAGAGCAGUUUCUCACAAUCUUCGCAGCUUCCCUAUGGAAGUUGCAUCGGUUAGUUUCUUUUUCCUCAGACAAGCCUAUUUAGCAUAGAAAAGAGUGGCACUAGUGUUGUAAUAGUUAAGAGAAGACAACUGGAUAGCAGGGAUGAUAGCAUUGAGUUUGGGAGAUGCACUGAACUGUAUAUAAUGGGAAAGAUUAUAAGGAAAACUACCACCAGUUGAGUCUGUAAGUGGGGGUGGGAGAGAUCAGGAGGUCUAUGCUGACUAUGUGAUCACAGAGAAUAAUGAUAGCUUGGGAUAGAAAUGAUUCCUUGAGGAGGAUGAAGAGAAUCUGAAAAGAAGGAAUGAUUUUUUUUCUAGUUAUCAUAAUGUCUUGAAUAGAAUUCUCAAUAUGCUUUUUUAUGCCUCCAGACCCAUAAAUGAGAACUAAUGAAAAACUGCAUCCUGACUGAUAUAGGAACUUAUCAUUUACUUUGUGAUUAUGCUAAUACACCUAAAACUCAUACUAUUUACAUUAAUGAAUCUUUACAUAUAUGUAUACACACACAUAUAUAUGUAUGUAUUUAUGUUUAUAUAUGUGUGUUUGAAAAAAAAAUAUGUAUAUAUUAUACUUAUCAUUGUCCUCCCUGCUGAUAAUAGGACUUGGCAGAAAUAAAACAGAAACCAGGAAAGUGCUGCCAUGAUUGUCUUGAGGCAGUCAUGUCUGGGAGUUCAUCAUAAGGCUUUCCACAAACAUUCUCAGGCAUCUAUUUCUGGCCACACGUAGCACUGUACUUGUCAUCCCUGUUUGAAGUUACCAGUGGGCUUACUUUGGCCAAUGAAAUGUAACCAGAGGUACCAGAAAUGGUCUGUCUACAUUCUUCUCCAAAAAAAGUGUCAUUUAAUUGACCCUCUGAGGUAGGCAUGCUCAAUUUUCCUUUCCCAUGUGAUGAAAGUUUGUGUUGAAAUAAAGCCUGCAUCAAACUGGAUCUAUAAUGAGCAGAGACCUAUUGGCACACACUGAAGGACUAUAACAAUGAGACAAAUCUUUUGUGUCCUGCCACUCUAGGAUGUGGCAGCUGCUACUAUAACAAAGUCUAGUCCAUCUUGACUUUUACAAGUGGUCAAAAAAUUGACUUUCACAUUUAGAGUUCCCAAAAUCUUUUUUUUUUUUUUGAAGAGCUAGGAAUUUGAAAUUGCCACAAAACCAAAAAAGUAACAAAGACCAGAGCAGGUUCAGAAUGCCUGGAGCAGUUCCAGGACAACAUCCUUCGGAAACUGAGACGUCCCAGGAAAACAAUGGAAGACAGAAAAUUUCCCCAAAAAAUUAAAAAGAGAACGACCAUAUGAUCCAAUAAUUCCACUCCUGGGUAUUUAUUCAAAGAAAACUAAAACACUAAUUUGAAAAGAUAUAUGCUGGGAGUUCCCACUGUGGCCCCACAGUAACGAACCCAACCAGUAUUCAUGAGGACAUGGGUUUGAUCCCUGGCCUCGCUCAGUGGGUUAGAGAGCUGGUGUUGCCAUGAGCUGUGGUGUAGGUUGCAGAUGCAGCUUGGAUCCUGCAUUGCUGUGACUCUGGUGCAGGCCAGCAGGUACAGCUCUGAUUUGACCCAUAACCUUGGAACUUCCAUAUGCCACAGGUGCAGCCCUAAAAAAAAAAA
rnacentral:lncRNA from 1 species